rnacentral:rRNA from 1 species
AUACGGGGGGUGCAAGCGUUAAUCGGAAUUACUGGGCGUAAAGCGUGCGUAGGCGGUUUGGUCAGUCAGCCGUGAAAGCCCUGGGCUUAACCUGGGAACGGCGGUUGAGACGGCCAGACUCGAGUGGGCUAGAGGAUCGUGGAAUUCCCGGUGUAGCGGUGAAAUGCGUAGAGAUCGGGAGGAACACCGAUGGCGAAGGCAGCGGUCUGGGGCCACACUGACGCUGAGGCACGAAAGCGUGGGGAGCAAACAGGAUUAGAUACCCUGGUAGUCCACGCGGUAAACGAUGAACACUAGACGUUGGGCGGGUGACCGUCCGGUGUCGAAGCUAACGCGAUAAGUGUUCCGCCUGGGGAGUACGGCCGCAAGGUUGAA